UUAAGCGACUAAGCGUACACGGUGGAUGCCCUGGCAGUCAGAGGCGAUGAAGGACGUGCUAAUCUGCGAAAAGCGUCGGUAAGGUGAUAUGAACCGUUAUAACCGGCGAUGUCCGAAUGGGGAAACCCAGUGCAAUUCGUUGCACUAUCGUUAACUGAAUACAUAGGUUAACGAGGCGAACCGGGGGAACUGAAACAUCUAAGUACCCCGAGGAAAAGAAAUCAACCGAGAUUCCCCCAGUAGCGGCGAGCGAACGGGGAGCAGCCCAGAGUCUGAAUCAGCUUGUGUGUUAGUGGAACGGUCUGGAAAGUCCGACGGUACAGGGUGAUAGUCCCGUACACCAAAAUGCACAGGUUGUGAACUCGAAGAGUAGGGCGGGACACGUGGUAUCCUGUCUGAAUAUGGGGGGACCAUCCUCCAAGGCUAAAUACUCCUGACUGACCGAUAGUGAACCAGUACCGUGAGGGAAAGGCGAAAAGAACCCCGGCGAGGGGAGUGAAAAAGAACCUGAAACCGUGUACGUACAAGCAGUGGGAGCACCUUCGGGUGUGACUGCGUACCUUUUGUAUAAUGGGUCAGCGACUUAUAUUCUGUAGCAAGGUUAACCGUAUAGGGGAGCCGCAGGGAAACCGAGUCUUAACUGGGCGUUAAGUUGCAGGGUAUAGACCCGAAACCCGGUGAUCUAGCCAUGGGCAGGUUGAAGGUUGGGUAACACUAACUGGAGGACCGAACCGACUAAUGUUGAAAAAUUAGCGGAUGACUUGUGGCUGGGGGUGAAAGGCCAAUCAAACCGGGAGAUAGCUGGUUCUCCCCGAAAGCUAUUUAGGUAGCGCCUCGUGAACUCAUCUUCGGGGGUAGAGCACUGUUUCGGCUAGGGGGUCAUCCCGACUUACCAACCCGAUGCAAACUACGAAUACCGAAGAAUGUUAUCACGGGAGACACACGGCGGGUGCUAACGUCCGUCGUGAAGAGGGAAACAACCCAGACCGCCAGCUAAGGUCCCAAAGUCAUGGUUAAGUGGGAAACGAUGUGGGAAGGCACAGACAGCCAGGAUGUUGGCUUAGAAGCAGCCAUCAUUUAAAGAAAGCGUAAUAGCUCACUGGUCGAGUCGGCCUGCGCGGAAGAUGUAACGGGGCUAAACCAUGCACCGAAGCUGCGGCAGCGACACUAUGUGUUGUUGGGUAGGGGAGCGUUCUGUAAGCCUGCGAAGGUGUGCUGUGAGGCAUGCUGGAGGUAUCAGAAGUGCGAAUGCUGACAUAAGUAACGAUAAAGCGGGUGAAAAGCCCGCUCGCCGGAAGACCAAGGGUUCCUGUCCAACGUUAAUCGGGGCAGGGUGAGUCGACCCCUAAGGCGAGGCCGAAAGGCGUAGUCGAUGGGAAACAGGUUAAUAUUCCUGUACUUGGUGUUACUGCGAAGGGGGGACGGAGAAGGCUAUGUUAGCCGGGCGACGGUUGUCCCGGUUUAAGCAUGUAGGCUGNAAUGUGUGUUCGAGUCUCUCAAAUUUUCGCAAUCAGAAGUGAAACAUCUUCGGGUUGUGAG
rnacentral:rRNA from 1 species